ACAGAUUACAGGAAGUUUAAUUUUCACCUCUGAAGCCUUGCCUACCCUAUGUUAAGGCAUUUCUAACAGAGUCUUACAACUGUGAACCUUCCAAGUUUACUAGCAAUUCCCUAGGACAACCAGAUUUUUAUGAGAAUGCUCCCGAAUCUCUUGGUUGAGGAUGACUGCAACAUGCUGAGGCUGGUUCCGACAUUUACCACAGAUGCCAUGCUGAGUCAGGUCAUCACACACAGGACAGUGUAAAGUAGUGAAGUACUGUGAAAUAGUGCCUUUUCGCCCUUCAAGUUCGCUUCGAGACGAGCUGGUGGCUUUCUGGAUCUAUAAAAACAUCAACUCAGAAGAAACCAGAAGGAAACCAGUGGCACCUCUGUCAGUUUAGGAUAAUAGAGUAUUCAUGUUACCUUUCAUAGCACAAAAAUAAAAUCCUUAGUUCUA